rnacentral:RNase_P_RNA from 2 species
UUUCGGAGCCGCGCGUUCGCUCCGUUGUUCUUUUUAGAGUCUACGGGGAGGAAAGUCCGGACGCCAUAGGGCGGGAUUCCUCGCGAAAGCGGGGGAGGGUCGUUUCAAGGCGACCCGACGGCCAGUGCCACAGAGAAUAUACCGCCCUCCUUCGCCAUGGCUUCGGCGGGCAGGCCCUCGAUUUGAGGAUCUGUUUGGUGAAGGAAGGUAAGGGUGAAAAGGUGGGGUAAGAGCCCACCGCGGUUCAGGUAACUGGACUGGCAGGGUAAACCCAUUCCGGCGCAAGGCAAAAUAGGGGACCUGGACUGCCCGUCCAUUAAGGGUCCCGGGUAUGCCGCGUCACUUCGCAAGAAGGGGCUCUCGCUUCGGCGAGGCGCAGAUAAAUGAACGCGAUUCUGGUUUCGGCCAGAAUACAGGAUCCGGCUUACAGGCUCCGAAACUAG